AGAGUUUGAUUAUGGCUCAGGAUGAACGCUAGCUACAGGCUUAACACAUGCAAGUCGAGGGGCAGCAUUGGAGUAGCAAUACUUCAGAUGGCGACCGGCGCACGGGUGAGUAACACGUAUCCAACCUGCCGCUUACUCGGGGAUAGCCUUUCGAAAGAAAGAUUAAUACCCGAUGGUAUAAAGAGUUCGCAUGUUCUCUUUAUUAAAGAAUUUCGGUAAGCGAUGGGGAUGCGUUCCAUUAGAUAGUUGGCGGGGUAACGGCCCACCAAGUCUACGAUGGAUAGGGGUUCUGAGAGGAAGGUCCCCCACAUUGGAACUGAGACACGGUCCAAACUCCUACGGGAGGCAGCAGUGAGGAAUAUUGGUCAAUGGACGAGAGUCUGAACCAGCCAAGUAGCGUGAAGGAUGACUGCCCUAUGGGUUGUAAACUUCUUUUAUAAGGGAAUAAAGUGAGGGACGUGUCCCUUUUGUAUGUACCUUAUGAAUAAGGAUCGGCUAACUCCGUGCCAGCAGCUGC
rnacentral:rRNA from 1 species